rnacentral:rRNA from 1 species
UACGUAGGGUGCGAGCGUGUCCGGAAUUAUUGGGCGUAAAGAGCUCGUAGGCGGUUUGUCGCGUCUGCUGUGAAAACUGGGGGCUCAACCCCCAGCCUGCAGUGGGUACGGGCAGACUAGAGUGCGGUAGGGGAGAUUGGAAUUCCUGGUGUAGCGGUGGAAUGCGCAGAUAUCAGGAGGAACACCGAUGGCGAAGGCAGAUCUCUGGGCCGUAACUGACGCUGAGGAGCGAAAGCGUGGGGAGCGAACAGG